UCUCCUUCUCUGGUUGCUAAAACUCUAGGUCAGCCAGGCCAGCCACAGUCAACACAGAGGCUUCAGAAUGCUUUCCGGAUGAGCUUGUGUGGCUGCAAGAGUUUCAGAGGCACAGAGAGAAGGCAUGGCCAGGAGUUAGAGACUAUAUGCAUGACAAUAAAGUGAGGCACAGAUCUGCCAUACGUGGUCAUCACUGAGCCACAAGUAGACAGUAAUUGUUACAUCUUGUCAAAAUCAGUGAAAAUGUCUAAAUAAUUCUGAAGCUUUGUCAGAAAAUGCUUUCUAUGAACAAUUAAUAAGAAAUCAAAACAAAUAAAAAACAGAAGAUAAAACAUCUGACAACUGUUGUCAAGCAGGUUCUAAACUCGCCAUUUACAAAGAAGUUCAGUAUUAUUGUAACUGAAACGAAAAUCACUAUGUCUGCAGCAUGUGACAACAAGAACAAACAUCUUUCAUGUUUAGAUGAAAAGCCCUUCGGAUGGCGGCAUCUUUCUUGUUACAUCAGAGUAUGGAAUUUCUGGUUUGAGAAGGUUUCUGUUACAAAAUACCCUGGAGAUGCCCUCCCUUUGAAAGAGCUAUCAUAUCAUCUCUCUUUGGGUGACUUCCAAUCCGCCCAUUUCACGGGGAGGAGGAAGGUACUGGUUUAUUUCAAUAUGACUUUGAAGGAAAAUUACCGUGCAAAUGUUAGAAGAGUAAUGACUGCAAGACCAAGUCCUAAUUCAGACUGCUCUGAUCAUUCUACUACUCUGAUGUCUAUGGAUUUGACACAAAUCAACAGCCAAGACUUUAAAUUCAGACAUGCCUAUUGCGUG
rnacentral:lncRNA from 1 species